GAUGAACGCUGGCGGCGUGCCUAACACAUGCAAGUCGAGCGAUUCUCUUCGGAGAAGAGCGGCGGACGGGUGAGUAACGCGUGGGUAACCUGCCCUGUACACACGGAUAACAUACCGAAAGGUAUGCUAAUACGAGAUAAUAUGCUUUUAUCGCAUGGUAGAAGUAUCAAAGCUUUUGCGGUACAGGAUGGACCCGCGUCUGAUUAGCUAGUUGGUAAGGUAACGGCUUACCAAGGCGACGAUCAGUAGCCGACCUGAGAGGGUGAUCGGCCACCUUGGAACUGGUACACGGACCAGACUCCAACGGGAGGCAGCAGUGGGGAAUAUUGCACAAUGGGCGAAAGCCUGAUGCAGCAACGCCGCGUGAGCGAUGAAGGCCUUCGGGUCGUAAAGCUCUGUCCUCAAGGAAGAUAAUGACGGUACUUGAGGAGGAAGCCCCGGCUAACUACGUGCCAGCAGCCGCCGUAAGAC
rnacentral:rRNA from 1 species